rnacentral:lncRNA from 1 species
UUCGGUAAGGACAGGCUCCCUGUGUGGGAUGCCCCAAGACACCAAGCAGGCAGAUUUGUGACCUAGAAGAUGUUUUCCUACCACCAGGCUUGUCAAGCACCCCUAGACCACCUAUCUUUCCCACCUGUGGGAGUAAGGGGCUUGGGGGACACCCUCACGUUGCCCAGAGCGGGCUGCAUGCCUGAACGGGCCCCGGGAACCGCCCGCCUAGCUCUCCACAGAAAUCUACCUCUCCAGCCAGUGGCAACUCAGGACAUCUAAGGGGUCGGAAUUGGUUUGGCCAAGAGGCUGCGGACCCAGAAGAGGCCACGAGGAGGGCAGAGCGCAGGAAGGACCGACAGAAGCGCCAGGAGCAGCAAGCCGAAGCUGGGGGAGGGGAAGCGGGGAGCACCCAGCCUCUUGAGUAAGGGUCCCAUUACUUCCGAAGUCCCGCAGCCUCUUGGGGGGGGGGCGCCCACCCACAGGUGGCCCAGCUUGGAUAAAGGGUCUUGCGCGCGCGUGGGCCUCUCUCCUUUGCAUCCUGCAAGAGAUGUGUGGUGCAACCCAGGUGCCCCCCCCUCCAGCUUGAUUGGGGACCAGGCCUGGAGUGCGCGGCCCAGCUCGAUCCUUCCCUUUUGCAGCUGGGCACGGUCUCCCCGCGUCGCCUCUAGGUUCCCCGUUG